rnacentral:rRNA from 1 species
UGGGGAAUCUUGGACAAUGGGGGCAACCCUGAUCCAGCCAUGCCGCGUGAGUGAUGAAGGCCUUAGGGUCGUAAAGCUCUUUCGCCUGUGAAGAUAAUGACGGUAGCAGGUAAAGAAGUCCCGGCUAACUCCGUGCCAGCAGCCGCGGUAAUACGGAGGGGACAAGCGUUAUUCGGAUUUAUUGGGCGUAAAGGGCGCGUAGGCGGACCAGAAAGUUGGGGGUGAAAUCCCGGGGCUCAACCCCGGAACUGCCUCCAAAACUAUUGGUCUAGAGUUCGAGAGAGGUGAGUGGAAUUCCAAGUGUAGAGGUGAAAUUCGUAGAUAUUUGGAGGAACACCAGUGGCGAAGGCGGCUCACUGGCUCGAUACUGACGCUGAGGUGCGAAAGUGUGGGGAGCAAACAGGAUUAGAUACCCUGGUAGUCCACACCGUAAACGAUGAAUGCCAGUCGUCGGGUAGCAUGCU